AUUGAACGCUGGCGGCAUGCCUAACACAUGCAAGUCGAACGGCAGCACGACCUAGCUUGCUAGGUUGGUGGCGAGUGGCGCACGGGUGAGUAAUGCGUAGGAAUAUACCUUAAAGUGGGGGACAACCUGGGGAAACUCAGGCUAAUACCGCAUGGGCUCUAAGGAGGAAAGCUGGGGACCUUUCGGGGCCUGGCGCUUUAAGAAUAGCUUACGUCCGAUUAGUUAGUUGGUGGGGUAAAGGCUUACCAAGACGAUGAUCGGUAGCUGGUCUGAGAGGAUGGUCAGCCACACUGGGAGUGAGACACGGCCCAGACUCCUACGGGAGGCAGCAGUGGGGAAUAUUGGACAAUGGGGGAAACCCUGAUCCAGCGAUGCCGCGUGUGUGAAGAAGGCCUGCGGGUUGUAAAGCACUUUCGGUGGGGAGGAGGACUUAUAGGUUAAGAGCUAAUGAGUUGGACGUUACCCACAUAAGAAGCACCGGCUAACUCCGUGCCAGCCGCCGCCGCGG
rnacentral:rRNA from 1 species